CUUCAGUUGCCAGCACGUAAAGGUGGGAACUCUGAAGAUACUGCCCCGGUUAACGGGGAGGAAGGUGGGGAUGACGUCAAGUCCUCAUGGCCCUUAUGCCCAGGGCUACACACGUGCUACAAUGGCAUAUACAAAGGGUCGCGAUACCGCGAGGUGGAGCCAAUCCCAUAAAGUAUGCCACAGUUCGGAUUGGAGUCUGCAACUCGACUCCAUGAAGUUGGAAUCGCUAGUAAUCGCAGAUCAGCAUGCUGCGGUGAAUACGUUCCCGGGCCUU
rnacentral:rRNA from 1 species